GACAGCAAAACACAGCAGAGCAGGAGGAGUGAGGUGAGCAUGUAAGAUGUGAGAGGAGCGGCGUCUGUACAAACAUGAUCUCUACUUUCUUAUAAAACGGGAGAAAUGUAGCGGAGAAAAAUUAAAGCUGAAGUAUCGAGACUAUCGAUAUUUGGGUCGAUAGUAAUAAGACUCUGAACUUCAGGCAGCCCAGGUGUUUGGCCAUAUCAAUCAAAGAGCCACUUGUCUCUUUGAGAUCCUGUGGUGUGCAUUCGACUCUGAAGCUGAGAAAAUCCUGCAAGAGGUGAGUAUGGAGGCCUCCUCAUCUCGCAGGAACUGAUGCAGCUUCUCAAAGUCAGCCCUUAUCAUCCGCAUUGCAUGCUGGGUCUGCUUCUAUUUAAAGUGAUAUCUUAUUCUUAAUUUCUUAGUUUAAUAAUAUUACCAAUAUCUUCAAUCAAAAAUGUACAUGUAUUUAAAAUAA